CCCUACGGGAGGCAGCAGUGGGGAAUAUUGCACAAUGGGGGAAACCCUGAUGCAGCGACGCCGCGUGAGUGAAGUAGUAUUUCGGUAUGUAAAGCUCUAUCAGCAGGGAAGAAAAUGACGGUACCUGAUUAAUAAGCCCCGGCUAACUACGUGCCAGCAGCCGCGGUAAUACGUAGGGGGCAAGCGUUAUCCGGAUUUACUGGGUGUAAAGGGAGCGUAGACGGCAGGGCAAGUCUGAAGUGAAAUGCCGGGGCUUAACCCCGGAACUGCUUUGGAAACUGUUCAGCUAGAGUGCAGGAGAGGGA
rnacentral:rRNA from 1 species